AUUGAACGCUGGCGGCAUGCCUUACACAUGCAAGUCGAACGGCAGCACGGGAGCAAUCCUGGUGGCGAGUGGCGAACGGGUGAGUAAUAUAUCGGAACGUGCCCAGUCGUGGGGGAUAACGCAGCGAAAGCUGUGCUAAUACCGCAUACGAUCUCUGGAUGAAAGCGGGGGACUCGCAAGGGCCUCGCGCGAUUGGAGCGGCCGAUAUCAGAUUAGCUAGUUGGCGGGGUAAAGGCCCACCAAGGCGACGAUCUGUAGCUGGUCUGAGAGGACGACCAGCCACACUGGAACUGAGACACGGUCCAGACUCCUACGGGAGGCAGCAGUGGGGAAUUUUGGACAAUGGGCGCAAGCCUGAUCCAGCAAUGCCGCGUGCAGGAUGAAGGCC
rnacentral:rRNA from 1 species